GACGAACGCUGGCGGCGUGCCUAAUACAUGCAAGUCGAGCGAACCAACGAGGAGCUUGCUCCUCAGCGGUUAGCGGCGGACGGGUGAGUAACACGUGGGCAACCUGCCUGUAAGACUGGGAUAACUCCGGGAAACCGGGGCUAAUACCGGAUAAUUCUUUYCUCUGCAUAGAGGAGAGAUAAAAGAUGGCUUCGGCUAUCCCUUACAGAUGGGCCCGCGGCGCAUUAGCUAGUUGGUGAGGUAAGGGCUCACCAAGGCGACGAUGCGUAGCCGACCUGAGAGGGUGAUCGGCCACACUGGGACUGAGACACGGCCCAGACUCCUACGGGAGGCAGCAGUAGGGAAUCUUCGGCAAUGGACGAAAGUCUGACCGAGCAACGCCGCGUGAGCGAUGAAGGCCUUCGGGUCGUAAAGCUCUGUUGUUAGGGAAGAACAAGUACCGUUCGAAUAGGGCGGUACCUUGACGG
rnacentral:rRNA from 2 species